rnacentral:tRNA from 1 species
GCGCCCAUAGUUUAACGGAUAAAAUGCUGGGUUCCGGACCCAGAGACUUGGGGGUUCAAUUCCCUCUGGGCGCAC